AGAGUUUGAUCAUGGCUCAGAUUGAACGCUGGCGGCAUGCCUUACACAUGCAAGUCGAACGGUAACGCGGGGGCAACCCUGGCGACGAGUGGCGAACGGGUGAGUAAUACAUCGGAACAUAUCCAGUAGCGGGGGAUAACCUAUCGAAAGAUGGACUAAUACCGCAUACGAUCUACGGAUGAAAGCAGGGGACCGCAAGGCCUUGCACUAUUGGAGUGGCCGAUGUCGGAUUAGCUAGUUGGUGAGGUAAAGGCUUACCAAGGCGACGAUCCGUAGCUGGUCUGAGAGGACGAUCAGCCACACUGGAACUGAGACACGGUCCAGACUCCUACGGGAGGCAGCAGUGGGGAAUUUUGGACAAUGGGCGCAAGCCUGAUCCAGCCAUGCCGCGUGAGUGAAGAAGGCCUUCGGGUUGUAAAGCUCUUUCGGUGAAGACGAAACGGUUAGCGCUAAUAACGCUGACUAAUGACGGUACUCACAGAAGAAGCACCGGCUAACUACGUGCCAGCAGCCGCGGUAAUACGUAGGGUGCAGGCGUUAAUCGGAAUUACUGGGCGUAAAGCGUGCGCAGGCGGUUUGCUAAGACAGGUGUGAAAUCCCCGAGCUUAACUUGGGAAUUGCGCUUGUAACUGGCAAGCUAGAGUGUGGCAGAGGGGGGUGGAAUUCCACGUGUAGCAGUGAAAUGCGUAGAUAUGUGGAGGAACACCGAUGGCGAAGGCAGCCCCCUGGGUUAACACUGACGCUCAUGCACGAAAGCGUGGGGAGCAAACAGGAUUAGAUACCCUGGUAGUCCACGCCCUAAACUAUGUCAACUAGUUGUCGGGGAAGAAAUUCCUUGGUAACAAAGCUAACGCGUGAAGUUGACCGCCUGGGAGUACGGCCGCAAGGUUAAAACUCAAAGGAAUUGACGGGGACCCGCACAAGCGGUGGAUUAUGUGGAUUAAUUCGAUGCAACGCGAAAAACCUUACCUACCCUUGACAUGCUAGGAAGCCCGCAGAGAUGUGGGUGUGCCCGAAAGGGAACCUAGACACAGGUGCUGCAUGGCUGUCGUCAGCUCGUGUCGUGAGAUGUUGGGUUAAGUCCCGCAACGAGCGCAACCCUUGCCAUUAGUUGCUACAUUCAGUUGGGCACUCUAAUGGGACCGCCGGUGACAAACCGGAGGAAGGUGGGGAUGACGUCAAGUCCUCAUGGCCCUUAUGGGUAGGGCUUCACACGUAAUACAAUGGUCGGUACAGAGGGCUGCCAACCCGCAAGGGGGAGCUAAUCCCAGAAAGCCGAUCGUAGUCCGGAUUGUAGUCUGCAACUCGACUGCAUGAAGCCGGAAUCGCUAGUAAUCGCGGAUCAGCAUGUCGCGGUGAAUACGUUCCCGGGUCUUGUACACACCGCCCGUCACACCAUGGGAGUGGGUUCCACCAGAAGUAGUUAGCCUAACCGCAAGGAGGGCGAUUACCACGGUGAGAUUCAUGACUGGGGUGAAGUCGUAACAAGGUA
rnacentral:rRNA from 1 species